rnacentral:rRNA from 1 species
GUGGGGAAUAUUGGGCAAUGGGGGAAACCCUGACCCAGCAACGCCGCGUGAAGGAAGAAGGCUUUCGGGUUGUAAACUUCUUUUAUGAGGGACGAAGAAGUGACGGUACCUCAUGAAUAAGCCACGGCUAACUACGUGCCAGCAGCCGCGGUAAUACGUAGGUGGCAAGCGUUGUCCGGAUUUACUGGGUGUAAAGGGCGCGUAGGCGGGAUAGCAAGUCAGGUGUGAAAUCCGGGGGCUUAACCCUCGAACUGCACUUGAAACUGUUAUUCUUGAGUGAUGGAGAGGCAAGCGGAAUUCCUAGUGUAGCGGUGAAAUGCGUAGAUAUUAGGAGGAACACCAGUGGCGAAGGCGGCUUGCUGGACAUUAACUGACGCUGAGGCGCGAAAGCGUGGGGAGCAAACAGGAUUAGAAACCCGAGUAGUCC